AGCUCCAAUAGCGUAUAUUAAAGUUGUUGCAGUUAAAAAGCUCGUAGUUGGAUUUCUGGCAGGAGUGACUGACCACAAACUCUGUUUGUGAGUUGUGUCAUUCUGGCCAUCCUUGGUAAGAUCCUUUUUGGCAUUAAGUUGUCGGGAAGGGGAUGACCAUCGUUUACUGUGAAAAAAUUAGAGUGUUUAAAGCAGGCUUAUGCCGUUGAAUAUAUUAGCAUGGAAUAAUAAGAUAGGACUUUGAGUCUAUUUUGUUGGUUUGCGAGUCAAAGUAAUGAUUAAUAGGGACAGUUGGGGGUAUUCGUAUUUCAUUGUCAGAGGUGAAAUUCUUGGAUUUCUGAAAGACGAACUACUGCGAAAGCAUUUACCAAGGAUGUUUUCAUUA
rnacentral:rRNA from 1 species